rnacentral:rRNA from 1 species
CCUACGGGUGGCAGCAGUGAGGAAUAUUGGUCAAUGGGCGCAAGCCUGAACCAGCCAAGUCGCGUGAGGGAAGACGGUCCUAUGGAUUGUAAACCUCUUUUGUCGGGGAGCAAAAGACGCCACGCGUGGCCUUCCGAGAGUACCCGAAGAAAAAGCCUCGGCUAACUCCGUGCCAGCAGGCGCGGUAAUACGGAGGAUGCGAGCGUUAUCCGGAUUUAUUGGGUUUAAAGGGUGAGAAGGCGGAAGAUCAAGUCAGCGGUAAAAGUGAGAGGCUCAACCUCUUCGAGCCGUUGAAACUGGUUUUCUUGAGUGAGCGAGAAGUAUGCGGAAUGCGUGGUGGAGCGGUGAAAUGCAUAGAGAUCACGCAGAACGCCGAUUGCGAAGGCAGCAUACCGGCGCUCAACUGACGCUCAUGCACGAAAGUGUGGGUAUCGAACAGGAUUAGAUACCCUUGUAGUC